UGGUGUAAGGUGCACAAAAGUUUUUGAUAUUUUAGGAGAUAGUUUAAUGUUACGACCACAA
rnacentral:tRNA from 1 species